CAUUUGAAUAUUGGAAGGAGUGGGCUGUGGACUUCGCCAAGGCAGGCACUUACGGGAUCGGAGUGGCGAUGGGAAACGGCAGUGGGGGCGAAGCGGACGCCAGCUUCAUGGGAAAGUAUUUCAAAAUGAUCCUGGUGGUCCGAUCAGAGCUGAAGAUGGGUAAGGGCAGCCCAGUGCUCACACGCCGCUGUGUCAGCCUACAAGCAGGUCCAGCGCAGGAACCCUGAGCUGCUGAAGCAAUGUGAGUACUGCGGCCAGCCCAAAAUCGUGGUUAAAGCUCCGGAUGAGGACAGUGUGAUAGAACUGCUAACCCAUGCCAAAGUAGGGCUGCCUGUCUUUCUGCUCCAAGAUGCAGGGAGGACCCAGAUAGCACCAGGGUCCCUUGCUGUGCUGGGAGUAGGCCCUGGACCCACUGAUCUCGUGGACAAAGUCACUUCGACACUUGAAACUGUAUUAGAUACAAAUUAGGACUUGAGUUUUCUGUAUUGGAAGUAGGAUAAUCCUGGUUCACAAAGAAGUGGUCAUCUGGGAACUAUGUAUAUACAUUGAGGUCCAACCAUGUCAUCCUAGCAGAACUGAUACCCAGACCCAAUAGGCCUACAUCUUUUGCUGUGCUUAGAAUGUGCACUUGUACUUAAACUACCCCAAACCCAUCUGAGCACUGGCUUGCAAUUAAAACACUAUUGUACAUCACUCAUUUGGCAGGCAUAGUGAUACGGAUUUUCCCUAAAGGAUGCCUUGAUAAAAAGAUUCAUAAGAGUGAAGGUAGACCAACAAACGUUGGCCGUGCACAGCAGUCCUAUUGCAUCGGCCGUCAUUUUCAAUUAAUUCCCUGGCAAUUCUAAAUGUUGGAAUCUCCACAAAUCAUUGACACCUGUGCAUGGCCGAUGUGUUAGUCUAUCAUCCUUACAAACGUGACAGACAAAACAAGGUUGAGAAGGGAACAAAAGAGACCCGACCAGACUUGACAAACAAGAAGCCUUUAUUUUAUGUGGAAAAGAAAACCGCCGUUUCAUUCAUCAUGAUCCAGAUCCUGCACAAUCAACUAUUUGAGUGCACACUUAAAUCUAGUCAUUUGUUUUGAGAGUAUAGGGUAGAGGGAGAGUUAAUGAUUCUUUGUAUACACACACAAGCCUUUGAUAAAAACACCAAAUUACCAGUCUCUUCAAUUAGAUCAGACAAAUAUAGUGUGAGUCCCAAAUGGCACCCUAUUUCCUGCAUAGUGCAGUACAACCUUUAUGGGCCCUGGUCAAAAGUAGUGCACUAUAUAUAGGGAAUAGGGUACCAUUUUGGCCACACAAAGAAAACCUGGCAGGACAUCAAGGCUAUUAGGUUUUAUAUCCUCUUCUGUACAAUCAAGAACAGUGACCUAGAACACCAUGAUAUCCAGCAUAUACCAACCGCAGCACAAGGAGGGGGGGGUAGUAACAUACACAGGUCUGACUGAACUGAAGAACAGGGCUUCUUUAAUUCUCGUAAUCAAUCCAUCCAAAUGGAAUAGUCCCACACGAGCACUUUACAGCAUGAGGAAAGGAAAGUGUCUUACACGCAGCUGAGUGAGAUGCAAAGACACCAUCGACUUCAUCUCUACGCACGUUCUGACUCAAUGACUAACUGGAGAGCCUGCAUAGGCUUGGGAUGGAAGGAUAAAACUCACUUUUGGAAAUCAUGUCUGUAUGCGUCUUAAAAUAAUCUUUCUCUAGAGCUACACAACCCCUUUAACCCUGUGUAGGUCAUUACUGGUAUUUGUACAUAGUGUUUCUAGUUUGUGGGUCAUGGAAGCAGCAGUCAUGUUCAAAUAUAGAAGAACAUUGUAGCUUUUUCCUUUCUGAAUAUACAAUAAUUAAAUGUAUUUUACAGACUGAUAGAACAAGCUGCUCACACAUCAAAAUGAAGAGAUUCUACAUUAGUUUCUUCACUACAGAGUGCAAAUCAGAUGCUUCACAACAUACCUUUGUUUAAUGAAGAAGAGGACUCACUCUUCCCACAAGCCCCCUCAUUGUACAUAAACCAUUCCCCAUACAAAAAAAAUGGCAUUUAGUAAAUAUAAUGGAAUGUGAAAUUAAUUGUGAUCCAAUCUUUUUCUUUGACAACAGAAAUAAUGUCCUUCAUGAGUUUUUUUUUUAAAGGAAAACAAAAACAAAAUAAACUGCUUGUUUGAAUCCACUAAAUGUUGUGAGAAGAUGGUAAUAGCCUAGUGAAGGACUGAGCUGAGAGAGAUGGAUGGGCUCCAGGGCUUGCCAGGAGACCUUUACAUGCCGUAGCCAAAGCCUGGUUGGGCCUGAGGUGCCUGGGGGUAGCCUGCAGGAGCCUGGUAACCGUAGCCGUAGGCCUGCUGGGGGGGCACGGGCACGCUGGGGCCAGCAGUCAGCAUAAGCUGGGGUGUGCCUGGAGGAAAGAGAUAGGCAUUACACAUGUAGGGCUGACACCAAAGAUUAGAAUCUAUCCGGAAUUGAUUAAUUUACUGAUUCAAAUAAUUUGAUGCUGAUUGAUUUGACCAUUUAAACUUCUUUUAACAUGGCGCACAAGCCACAGCUCAACUCUAACAUUCCAGAGUGCCAAGGAAGCCCAACUUUUAUUUUAAUGAUUUUUCUUUUGAACAGCAGACUGUAGAGAGGAGACAGGUUGAGGAGGUUGAGGAGAUUGAGUCAAAGGGCAGCUGGUCGGAUUCAAACCCAUGCCGACUCUGCCAUAAGUGUUCCAAGGUCAGAGGCCUUAGCCACUGGCCCACACGGAAACCUAGAUGCAUUGUUCACAAGACUACAACCUGUCUGCUGCAGAGGGACAAGAGAGCCACGAGAAAGCGAGUGUUGAUCAGUUAUGGACAUAAGUGCUGAAAACAUGUUUGCUCACCAUUUACUAAGUUAUCAGGACCUAUUAGGAUGAGAAAUACCAGAGUUUUGGUGCAGGUACAGCAGACUAUACGAAUAUUCGUUAGAAAUGACAAAUCUGAUACGAAUAUCAAAACUUGUCACUAUUAAAAACCUUUACACAUCUUA